CCGAGUUUCUACUCUCAAACCCUUGCAAACCUACCUGUAACGAUGCUUCGGCGACCGGCCCUCGGGGGGGCGUCACAAACGGUCGCCGAUAGUAUUCAAAAAUCAAAUUUUUUUUUCAGAGUCUCUGAAUGAACCUAAAAAAAACAAAUCAA
rnacentral:misc_RNA from 1 species